rnacentral:rRNA from 1 species
UACCGAUUGGAUGAUCGGUGAAACUUUCGGACUGUGGUUAGGACGCUCUCGGGCGACUUAGCUGUGGGAAGUUAUUUAAACCUCAUCAUCUAGAGGAAGGUGAAGUCGUAACAAGGUUUCCGUAGGUGAACCUGCGGAAGGAUCAUUA